CAUCAUAUCCAUCACCUAGUAAUCAUGUGUUCCUCUUGGUACUUCCCAUGUUUCAUCUCCUCUUACUACUACUACUACUACUACUGAAAGAACAACAAGUCCUCAAAUAUACAACUUAUCUACGUUUUAUCUCCUACUACUGAAAGAACAACAAUUCCCCAAAAUACACAACCACAAACACAUACCGAAUUUGAUAUUGUACCACAAAUAAAAGAAGAAAAUGACCACAAUAGUCAAUCUCAAUAUUUUAUUCCAUUUGGAGACCUACCUUACCCGAUCCUCAUAACCCGCAUCUACCAUGGGGAAAUUCAGAUAACAAAGUAUGGAUUUAUACUCUAAAAGGAAAGUAAGUCGAAUUGUUUUUUAAUUUAAUAUGUAUGUAUAGUUAAUGAAUUUAUUAUUUGAAAAUUAUGAAUAAUUUGUUUUGAAUUUGUUCAUGUAAUCCAUUUGUUAAAUUUCACAACUUCUAUCCCAAUGAUAAUAGGACUAAAGAUAUAUCAAAGAAAUUAAAUCUAUGUUUGAUGGUCUCUACAACAAAUGGAAAUUUUAUAACUCCAAAAUCAAAGAAAUGUGGUUUAAAGAGUUGGCGGCUACAAAUGGAUUGGUGAACAAGAGAUAACUAUUAAGGCUUUAUGGACAUCAAAAGCUAAAGAUCUACUAAGAAAGAUAAUGUCAAGAGCACAUGAAAAAAUGCCACAAAAUCCACAUGAAUCCCAAAAACCGUGUGGGCACAAUUGCUUGUAAAGUGGGAAGAUGAAGAUUAUCAAACAUUACAAUGUGCGGCAGUUGCUAAUCGUGAUUAAGAUAUUUGUGGUUCAUUGCAUACUCAAGGAUCUAAGAAUCAACUAAAGCAUGAACUUGAAUUGAAUAAAAGUUUAGAAAGGAUUCCACACAAGGGUGAACUAUUCAAGAAGUGUCACACAAGCAAGGGUACACAAAAUUUUGUGGAUAAGAUAUCAAGUGAUGCAUACGUGAGUAUCAAUUUUAAUUAUCUUUUUAUUCAACUAGUUAUUUUUGCAUAAUUUCUUUUAAAUCUCUAUCUCAUUGCGUUCAUCAAAUGUAUUGUUAGGAUAAUAACAACCUAUUAAGAACUUCAUUACUCUCCCCUUUAAUUUAUGGAUGAACAUCCUACAUAAUAUAUAGAAAUAAACACAACAAUAAACAACCCUUUGAUCAUAACAACCUGUUAUAUGACAAUGAUAUAUAAUAUAUGACAUUGAUUAACUGUAACUUUUAUUGACAUAUGUUGUGAUAAAAAUGCAUACGGCGUUGAAUGAUUGAAAAGUCACAUUAUAAUUUGUCUCUAUAACAUAGAAAAAGGAUUGUGCAUAAUCUAACACCACCUUUCUUUUAUUCAAGUUAUCAUUGUUUGCACUUUUUUAUUCAAACAACAUCAUAUAUAUGAAAAGACAGUGCAUAAUCUAGCCUGUUAGAACUUUGAAAAAAAAUAAAGGUAUUCUUGUUAUCCAAUAGAUAAAAAAUAGAUGGUAUGAAGUGUACUAAAUUGUUUUGGGGGGAUGGGACUGUUCAACUAAAGUGUAGAAUACAUAUAAGAAUGCAUGUCAAACAAUCUUAUAUUUAAAGGUAGAUAUACUGACAGAUAUUAUCAUAUAUUUUCUUAAAAGUUGGUCUGGCUCACUUGCUCUAAAAUAGAAGUUGUGCAUGAUGAAUAUAUUUUUGAAAAUUUACAUGCAUAUGUGGCUUGAUGGAUUCUGGAUUCUCUUUCCUAGCAAGAAAAAUGAAAAAAAAAACUAAAAUGAUUGAAAUUAUCUAAUUUUUGUUCCAUAGUAUCUUUUGAAGUGGACCCCUCUUUACUAUAUAUAUUUUUAUAAAUGUAUUGUUGUUUAUUUUUCUAUGGAAUA